rnacentral:rRNA from 1 species
AGCGAACGCUGGCGGCAGGCCUAACACAUGCAAGUCGAACGAACCUUUCGGGGUUAGUGGCGGACGGGUGAGUAACACGUGGGAACGUGCCUUUAGGUUCGGAAUAACUCAGGGAAACUUGUGCUAAUACCGAAUGUGCCCUUCGGGGGAAAGAUUUAUCGCCUUUAGAGCGGCCCGCGUCUGAUUAGCUAGUUGGUUGAGGUAAUGGCUCACCAAGGCGACGAUCAGUAGCUGGUCUGAGAGGAUGAUCAGCCACAUUGGGACUGAGACACGGCCCAAACUCCUACGGGAUGCAGCAGUGGGGAAUCUUGCGCAAUGGGCGAAAGCCUGACGCAGCCAUGCCGCGUGAAUGAUGAAAGUCUUAGGAUUGUAAAAUUCUUUCAACGGGGACGAUAAUGACGGUACCCGGAGAAGAAGCCCCGGCUAACUUCGUG